ensembl:lncRNA
GGUUGGGUCACGAGACACCCCCUCCCCGUGCUGUGUGGGACGCUCAGACUUGGCACAGCGGCACCCCGCCCGUUUCCCUGGGCGACUGCAUUCUGCCAGGCCCCAACCCUGAAAGCCAGGCCACAGGACACUCACCCUCCCCAGUGCACACUCACACACACUGCAGUGCACACACACCCAGUGCACACUCACACCCCAGUGUACACACACUACAGUGUGGUGUAGACACAUGCCCAGUGCAUGCAGUUACACAUGCCCAGUGGACAUACACUACAGUGUACACACACCCCCAAUGCACUCACAGCCCAGUGCACACACACCACAGUGCACACACACCUAGUGCACGCAGUUACACACACACACCCAUUGUACACACCCCAGUGCACAUACACUCAGUGCACUUACACACCCAGUGCACAUGCACAGCCACACAGUGCACACACACCUAGUGCAUUCACACUACAGUGCACACACACACUGUGCAUGCACAGUUACACACACCCAGUGUACACACACUACAGUGCACACACAGUACAGUACACACAGUGUACACACACGCCCAGUGUACACACACGCCCAGUGCACACACAGUACAGUACACACAGUCAGUGCACUCACACCCCAGUGCACACACACAGUGCACACACAGUGAACACACAUGCCCAGUGCACACACACAGUGCACACACAGUCAGUGCACUCACACCCCAGUGCACACACAGUACAGUGCACACAGUGUACACACACACGCCCAGUGCUCACACACCACAGUGCACACCACAGUGCACACACAGUGUACACACACGCCCAGUGCACACACAGUGCACACACAGUGCACACACAGUCAGUGCACUCACACCCCAGUGCACACACAGUACAGUGCACACAGUGUACACACACACGCCCAGUGCUCACACACCCCAGUGCACACCACAGUGCACACACAGUGUACACACGCCCAAUGCACACACAGUGCACACACAGUCAGUGCACUCACACCCCAGUGCACACACAGUACAGUGCACACAGUGUACACACACUCGCCCAGUGCACACACACCCCAGUGCACACCACAGUGCACACACAGUACAGUGCACACAGUGUACACACACACGCCCAGUGCACACACAGUGCACACACACAGUGCACUCACACGCCCAGUGCACACACAGUGCACACACAGUCAGUGCACUCACACCCCAGUGCACACACAGUGCACACACACAGUCAGUGCACUCACACCUCCGCCCCGGCACUGAGCUCUGCUCUUCUCCCAGGGCUCUGGGCUCGGGUCUGGUUUGACGCUCGGCCGUCUGCUCUGAACCUUGAUGUUCUCGACUCCGAGCUUGUGUCUGGGAGGGCGCGGUGGGGGGCGGAGGCUCACACACUCGGUGUCCGCCGUCCCUGCCUGCACGCACAGGGCAGGGUGGUGACGCCGCCGAGCACGAAUUCCGCACGGCCUGGCUGCCUCGCCGGGAGGCUGCGGGCAGAGCGUGUGGGCCCGGCGCCAGCGUCGGAGAGAAUGCGGAUGGCGGGUUCACGCUGCACGCGCUGGUGGGUGAGGUCGGCGCGCUGCAAGCUGCACGGGCCGGGCCCUGCGACUUCCCCGCGUGCUGCGCAUUUGCAUUCAAACUGGCAGUGCCCCAAAUAGUGACGAACAGUGAAACGCACGCC